UGAUGCAGCAACGCCGCGUGAGGGACGACGGCCUUCGGGUUGUAAACCUCUUUUAGCAAGGAAGAAGCGAAAGUGACGGUACUUGCAGAAAAAGCGCCGGCUAACUACGUGCCAGCAGCCGCGGUAAUACGUAGGGCGCAAGCGUUAUCCGGAAUUAUUGGGCGUAAAGAGCUCGUAGGCGGUUUGUCGCGUCUGCUGUGAAAACCCGAGGCUCAACCUCGGGCCUGCAGUGGGUACGGGCAGACUAGAGUGCGGUAGGGGAGAUUGGAAUUCCUGGUGUAGCGGUGGAAUGCGCAGAUAUCAGGAGGAACACCGAUGGCGAAGGCAGAUCUCUGGGCCGUAACUGACGCUGAGGAGCGAAAGGGUGGGGAGCAAACAGGCUUAGAUACCCUGGUAGUCCACCCCGUAAACGUUGGGAACUAGUUGUGGGGUCCAUUCCACGGAUUCCGUGACGCAGCUAACGCAUUAAGUUCCCCGCCUGGGGAGUACGGCCGCAAGGCUAAAACUCAAAGGAAUUGACGGGGACCCGCACAAGCGGCGGAGCAUGCGGAUUAAUUCGAUGCAACGCGAAGAACCUUACCAAGGCUUGACAUAUACGAGAACGCUGCAGAAAUGUAGAACUCUU
rnacentral:rRNA from 1 species